UACGGAGGGUGCGAGCGUUGUCCGGAAUCACUGGGCGUAAAGGGCGCGUAGGUGGCGCGGGCAGUCAACGGUGAAAGUUCGGGGCUCAACCCCGAAUCGGCCGUCGAUACUCCCGGGCUUGAGCACUGUAGAGGCUAAUGGAAUUCCGGGUGUAGCGGUGGAAUGCGUAGAGAUCCGGAAGAACACCGGUGGCGAAGGCGGUUAGCUGGGCAGUUGC
rnacentral:rRNA from 1 species